UACAGGGGGGGCAAGCGUUGUUCGGAAUUACUGGGCGUAAAGGGCUCGUAGGUGGCCAACUAAGUCAGACGUGAAAUCCCUCAGCUUAACUGGGGAACUGUGUCUGAUACUGGAUGGCUUGAGUUUGGGAGAGGGAUGCGGAAUUCCAGGUGUAGCGGUGAAAUGCGUAGAUAUCUGGAGGAACACCGGUGGCGAAGGCGGCAUCCUGGACCAACACUGACACUGAGGAGCGAAAGCCAGGGGAGCAAACGGG
rnacentral:rRNA from 1 species